AGAGACCUACCAGGGAAUUUUGGGAGUGGAAAACAAUCAAGAACACUUCCUUUGGUCACACAUAAUAGGCACCUUCACAAGGAGCAAACAUGUGAAAGGAUAGGGAUAGGGUUUUAGGUUUAAAUUCAAACCUUUUGAAUUUAAUUUAAAACCAAUCAAGUCCUAUCCCUAAUGGGCAACAAAAGAAAUAUUUUCACAUAGAUUUUUUAGUGUGUAAGCCAAUUUGUGUGAUGGAAUAAGGCAUGGAGAGAAGGAAAGGUGCAGGGGAGAGAGUUUCAUUCAUCUGGGACUCUAGGGUUUAGCCAAUUGAAUUUCU
rnacentral:lncRNA from 1 species